UAGAUACUGCCUUUUCGUCUUCAUACUCCUGUCUCAGUGCCAGCACCUCUGGGAUGGCCUCGCAAAACCUUGACCCAGCUGCUGCCAGCGUUGCCUCGGUUCGAAAAGGAGCCGAGCCCUGCGGGGGCGCCACCCGAGGCCCUGUGGGCAAGAGGCUACAGCAGGAACUGAUGAUCCUCAUGACUUCUGGUGACAAAGGAAUCUCUGCCUUCCCUGAGUCAGACAACCUGUUCAAAUGGCUAGGGACUGUCCACGGAGCAGCCAGCACCGUAUAUGAAGACCUGAGGUAUAAACUCUCCCUAGAGUUCCCCAGUGGCUACCCUUACAACGCACCCACAGUGAAGUUCCUCACACCCUGCUACCACCCCAACGUGGACACCCAGGGCAGCAUCUGCCUGGACAUCCUCAAGGAUAAGUGGUCUGCACUGUAUGAUGUCAGGACCAUCUUGCGCUCUAUCCAGAGCCUGCUAGGAGAUCCCAACAUCGAUAGCCCUUUGAACACACACGCUGCGGAGCUCUGGAAAAACCCCACAGCGUUUAAGAAGUACCUGCAAGAAACCUAUUCAAAGCAGGUCUCCAGCCAAGAUCCCUGAUGCAAGCUGGCCGCCCCUCU